rnacentral:rRNA from 1 species
CAGUCGCCGCGGUAAUACGAAGGGGGCUAGCGUUGUUCGGAUUUACUGGGCGUAAAGGGUGUGCAGACGGCUUAUUGAGUCACUUGUUAAAUUCUUCGGCCUAACUGAAGGUCUGCAAGUGAUACUGAUGAGCUAGAGGGUGGAAGAGAGAAGUGGAAUUCUCGUAGUAGCGGUAAAAUGCGUAGAUCUCGAGAGGAACACCAAUGGCGAAGGCAGCUUCUUGGUCCAUUCCUGACGUUCAUACACGAAAGCGUGGGGAGCAAACAGGAUUAGAUACCCCAGUAGUCCCUGUCUCUUGUAC